rnacentral:rRNA from 1 species
CUGGCUCAGAUUGAACGCUGGCGGCAGGCCUAACACAUGCAAGUCGAACGGUAACAGGAAGAAGCUUGCUUCUUGCUGACGAGUGGCGGACGGGUGAGUAAUGUCUGGGAAACUGCCUGAUGGAGGGGGAUAACUACUGGAAACGGUAGCUAAUACCGCAUAACGUCGCAAGACCAAAGAGGGGACCUUCGGGCCUCUUGCCAUCGGAUGUGCCCAGAUGGGAUUAGCUAGUAGGUGGGGUAACGGCUCACCUAGGCGACGAUCCCUAGCUGGUCUGAGAGGAUGACCAGCCACACUGGAACUGAGACACGGUCCAGACUCCUACGGGAGGCAGCAGUGGGAAUAUUGCACAAUGGGCGCAAGCCUGAUGCAGCCAUGCCGCCGUGUAUGAAGAAGGCCUUCGGGUUAGUAAAGUUACUUCAGCGGGAGGAAGGGAGUAAAGUUAAUACCUUUGCUCAUUGACGUUACCCGCAGAAGAAGCACCGGCUAACUCCGUGCCAGCCGCAGC